CACGUAGGACGCGAGCGUUAUCCGGAUUUAUUGGGCGUAAAGCGCGUGCAGGCGGUUUAGAAAGUUGGAUGUGAAAGCUCCCGGCUUAACUGGGAGAGGUCGUUCAAUACUUCUAGACUUGAGAGUGGUAGAGGAAGGCGGAAUUCCGGGUGUAGUGGUGAAAUGCGUAGAUAUCCGGAGGAACACCAGUGGCGAAAGCGGCCUUCUGGACCAUUUCUGACGCUCAGACGCGAAAGCUAGGGUAG
rnacentral:rRNA from 1 species